UACGUAGGAGGCAAGCGUUGUCCGGAGUUACUGGGCGUAAAGGGCCCGCAGGCGGUGGAGUAAGUUUGGAGUGACAGUUCCCAGCUUAACCGGGAAAGGACUUCGAAAACUGCUCGACUUGAGGACUGGAGAGGAAGGCGGAAUUCCGGGUGGAGCGGUGAAAUGCGUAGAGAUCCGGAGGAACACCGACGGCGAAGGCAGCCUUCUCGGAAAGUACCUGACGCUGAGGGCGAAAGCUAGGGGAGGCGAACGGG
rnacentral:rRNA from 1 species